rnacentral:rRNA from 1 species
AAUAGAUACCCUGGUAGUCCACGCCGUAAACGUUGGGCGCUAGAUGUGGGGGCCAUUCCACGGUUUCCGCGUCGUAGCUAACGCAUUAAGCGCCCCGCCUGGGGAGUACGGCCGCAAGGCUAAAACUCAAAGGAAUUGACGGGGGCCCGCACAAGCGGCGGAGCAUGCGGAUUAAUUCGAUGCAACGCGAAGAACCUUACCAAGGCUUGACAUAUACGAGAACACUGCAGAAAUGUAGGACUCUUUGGACACUCGUAUACAGGUGGUGCAUGGUUGUCGUCAGCUCGUGUCGUGAGAUGUUGGGUUAAGUCCCGCAACGAGCGCAACCCUCGCCGCAUGUUGCCAGCACGUAAAGGUGGGAACUCAUGUGAGACUGCCGGGGUCAACUCGGAGGAAGGUGGGGAUGACGUCAAAUCAUCAUGCCCCUUAUGUCUUGGGCUUCACGCAUGCUACAAUGGCCGGUACAAAGGGCUGCAAUACCGUAAGUGGAGCGAAUCCCAAAAAGCCGGUCUCAGUUCGGA